rnacentral:rRNA from 1 species
UACGUAGGGGGCAAGCGUUGUCCGGAUUUAUUGGGCGUAAAGAGCGUGUAGGCGGCUUGGAAGGUCCGUUGUGAAAACUCGAGGCUCAACCUCGAGACGCCGAUGGAAACCACCUAGCUAGAGUCCGGAAGAGGAGAGUGGAAUUCCUGGUGUAGCGGUGAAAUGCGUAGAUAUCAGGAGGAACACCGGUGGUGUAAACGGCUUUCUGGACCGUAACUGACGCUGAUGCACGAAAGCGUGGGUAGCAAACAGG